GCGCUUUUAAUGUUAUGGAACUGUCUAUUCUGUUAAGCGGAGACAUAUAUCCCCUUCCAGGUCCUGGAAAUAUCCAUAAAAUAUCGGUCUGCCGUCCAAACCACUACAAACCAAGAAUUCGUGGCCGUAAUAUGAGAUCAAAUUGCAUAGGUAUAAAACCGGUACAGCAUACAAAAGCAGCCAUGCAUACAGUCAAAGUAAACUUUUGAAAUUAGCUGAUCUCAAUGUCCAGUCGCUCAGAGGCGGACCAGAUCUCAUUGACAUAAGGUGAAUGGCAUCGGUAAACAACUUUGAUAUUCUAACUAUCUCAGAUACAUGGUUUAAUACGUCGGUGACAAAUGCGAGUGUUCAGAUUGCAGGUUACAAAGUUAAUACAGGGAGUCCACGAGCCUUGAAAAUCCUGGAAAGUCCUUGAAUUGGAAGAAAAAAAAUUCAGGACUGGAAAGUCUUUGAAAAUCAGCAGAAGUCCUUAACCUCCAGCUGUGCCAACGUUAGUGAUGUUGAUUAAAAUUACUGAAUAAAGUGAAUUAUUUGCAGCAAAUCCAUGCCAUUGUCAAAGAUUUUUCCUGUUCUAGGUUCUUGAAUUUACUGGGAAAAUGGCCUGGAAAGUCCUGGAAAAAUCCUUGAAUUUCACCUUCACCAAAGGGUGGACACCCUGUUAAUAGAUUGGAUAGAAUUGGUAAAACCGGUGCUGUCGUCUGUGCUUAUAUAUUAGGGCUAUUAUCAAGGCAAAGGUCCUCAAGUACUUGAACAGGAUAAUUCUGUCUGGUUUACACCGGUCUAGUGGUACCCCGCAGAUCGACAACCGACAACAGUAACUAUUUGUGACCACAAUUUAGUUUUGUCUCCCUGAAUCUGAGAGCCUCAAAGCAAACUCGAAGAUACAUUGCCACUCGCAGUUUUCAGAAAUAUCAACCUGCGCAAUUUGCCAAUGAUAUCGCACACAUCCCAUGGAAUUUUGUCCAGUUGAUGGACGCUGUGAACGAUAAGGUGAUUUGUUUCUAACUUGUUUGAACAGCCACGCUGCAGCGAGAAUUAUUAAAUUCGAGUGCAAACCAAAUCAUUUUAUCACUGAUUGAUGGUAUCAGAAAAUUAAUGGCAACCUAGUAAAGUGCGCACAAAGAGGCGCGGAGAUCUGGUUUUGAAGAUGACUCGAUAAGAUUUAAGAACUUGAGGGAAGUAGUCAAAAUGGAAUACGGAAAGCAGAAUAGGAGAAUUGCAACCAAGAAAUCACUGCAAUCGGAAAUUUCGCUCUACAGAGACAUUGAGUCUACUCGUGGUGGAUAACAUCCCUAAAGCCAUGGACGAGAAGAUGCUAACAGCAAUGGUUUUAAUAGAUCUUAGGAAGGCUUUCGACAUCAUGAUUCACGCCACUUUGCUUCAAAAACAUCGGUUUCUGGAACUUCAGAGCAAGCAUGUAUGUGGUUCAAAAACUAUAUAAAUGACCGCCAGCAAUGCAGUAUAGCCUACAGUUGGAACCUCAAUAUCAGAUCUCUUAAUAGUCGCUUACGGAAUUCCACAAUGCUAUUUGGCCUAUGUUUCCAAAAUGGUGGACUUAGGUAUCAUAUCGGAUUGUAAUUUGUCGUUUAGUGAACACGUAUAUAGAUUCUUUCAUGUCGUCCCUAUAUUGUGCACCUUAUGUCAAGUGAAUAGGACUCGCCACCUUUUUUUCUAAGGAUGCAUUGCUCAUCAUCCUCAUCUCACAAACUUUUUGUAUUGUUCUUCGGUUUGGUCUGGACAUUCUAAGCAGAACAUCCAGAAAUUACAGCUUAUUCGAAACUUCGCCGUGUGGGUGCUAACUAACACCAAGAAAUUUGACCAUAUUUCUCCGUCUUACAGCAACUUGGCUGUCCAUCAAUUGAAGACCAGCUACCCUUACGUGAUGCAACGCAGAUGUACAAAAUCAUAAAAAGUUUUGCACCAUCGUACCUUAGUGCCAUGCCUCGCAAACGACAGGAUUUGCAUAUACAGUAGGUACAGUAUAACACGAGACAGAGGGACCACUUAGACCUAACCAUAUGUGCAGAACAGCUACAGCCCAGCGGUCCUUUGUCUGUCGGCGUGCUAUUAUCUGGAACUCGCUUAGUGCGCGAACACAAGAAAUAGCCAGUCAUUGAGAACGUUUAAAUUAAACGCAAAAUCUGAACUAUAUAGUCUUCAAAUUCCAGAUUAAGGGACCACUCACGUUUUGUAGAUUAUGUGGUCUUUUUAAGCCCUGGGCAAACUAGGAAACGUUGUUGUGGAAACAUUCGUGAUUCUUGAUGUUCCCUCAAAUUUUCCCUGUUUGCCCACCCGUGGGAACAUUUUUGCGGAAACAAAAUUUGCUUCCCAAGAAGCAAAAAUGUUUCCUACCAAAUUCAGAAACAUUUGAUGUUUUCCUAUGUUCCUCACUAAUGUUUCCUAGUGUUUGCCCACUUUGGGAAACAUGGCGAUACAUUGGCAGCAAACAAUGUUUCCGCAACAAUGUUUCCUAGUUUGCCCAGGGCUUUAGUUGUAUAAAGAUUGUAAAUAUAGAUAAUUUGAUGAAUUUUAUUUCAAUGUAAAAGUAGUUCAGAAUAACAUUUAUAAUUUGUUUAAAUGUAAGAAAUUCAUGGUAGUAUUAAAACAAAAAUUUAAAAAUUAAGUUUAAUAUCCCAUUUGGUUGAAUUUAACAGAUGUAUUUUUCCUCGUUUGAAUGAUCUAAAGGACCAAUGUCUAAUGAGGAUUAGCCCUAUUGCAACAUGUUCAUUAAUAAAACAAGAAUCGAAUUAACUCCAAAGAAUUAUAAUUAGGGCCUUUUUGGUAAAACGUUAAACCUAAAAAGCCCUUAAAAUCGUAACAUCCAUAAAAACACUCACGACAAGCCCAAUAUUUAAUUUAAGAAUAAUAUAUUUUGUAACGAUAGACAACUAAAUUUAAAAAUAUUUAACAGUGAAAUACAGGCAGUUUUGAAGCCCUUUAGUAAUUAAACCGUCGGGGAGUGUUUGAGAUUAGUGCAGUUUCCAUUCCUUUCUCGUUUCGGAAAGAAGUGACGUUUUGCAACUGCAAUUGCCAAAUGUGACGGGGCGCAUGAGGGAAAACGAAAUCCCACCACCAAAAGACAGUAAGAGAUGAUGCCAGUGCUUAUGUAAUUCGAUAACUCGCUUGUGGAAUCGGAGGAGGUAAGAGAAUAGUUAAUAGUUUUGUUUAUAAAAUAACUUGGUAUUAAUAGGAACACACUAUGUGAUUGGCCACCAAGC